GUCCACGCCGUAAACGAUGAUCACUAGACGUUAAUUCUGCUUGCAGAAUCAGUGUCGUAGCUAACGCGAUAAGUGAUCCGCCUGGGGAAUACGGUCGCAAGACUAAAACUCAAAGGAAUUGACGGGGGCGUCGCACAAGCGGUGGAACAUGUGGUUUAAUUCGACACUACGCGAGGAACCUUACCUAGGCUUGACAUGCUUUUGACAGCUGUAGAAAUACAGUCUUCUUUACUUUGUAAAGACAAUUGCACAGGUGCUGCAUGGUUGUCGU
rnacentral:rRNA from 1 species